rnacentral:rRNA from 1 species
UACGGGGGGAGCAAGCGUUGUUCGGAUUUACUGGGCGUAAAGGGCGCGUAGGCGGCGUGCCAAGUCAAUUGUGAAAUCUCCGGGCUUAACUCGGAACGGUCAAGUGAUACUGUCGUGCUAGAGUACAGAAGGGGCAACUGGAAUUCUCGGUGUAGCGGUGAAAUGCGUAGAUAUCGAGAGGAACACCUGCGGCGAAGGCGGGUUGCUGGGCUGAUACUGACGCUGAGGCGCGAAAGCCAGGGGAGCGAACGGG